rnacentral:rRNA from 1 species
GACGAACGCUGGCGGCGUGCUUAACACAUGCAAGUCGAACGAUGAAGAAAAGAAUUGAAGCUUCGGCAGAAAUUCAUUUCGGAUUAGUGGCAGACGGGUGAGUAACGCGUGAGCAACCUACCUCUUACAAAGGGAUAGCCUCGGGAAACCGGGAUUAAUACCAUAUAACAUUGCGACGAAGCAUUUCGAUGCAAUCAAAGCUACGGCGGUAAGAGAUGGGCUCACGUCCCAUUAACCAGAUGGUGAGGUAACGGCUCACCAUAGUAACGAUGGGUAACCGGCCUGAGAGGGUGAACGGUCACACUGGAACUGAGACACGGUCCAGACUCCUACGGGAGGCAGCAGUGGGGAAUAUUGCACAAUGGAGGGAACUCUGAUGCAGCGACGCCGCGUGAGUGAUGAAGGAAUUCGUUUCGUAAAACUCUGUUCUAUGGGAAGAAAAGGACUGUACCAUAGGAGAAAGCUCCGGCUAAAUACGUG